rnacentral:rRNA from 1 species
CCUACGGGAGGCAGCAGUGAGGAAUAUUGGUCAAUGGGCGGAAGCCUGAACCAGCCAAGUAGCGUGCAGGAUGACGGCCCUACGGGUUGUAAACUGCUUUUAUACGGGAAUAACGCGCCUUACGUGUAGAGCUUUGCAUGUACCGUAUGAAUAAGGACCGGCUAAUUCCGUGCCAGCAGCCGCGGUAAUACGGAAGGUCCGGGCGUUAUCCGGAUUUAUUGGGUUUAAAGGGAGCGUAGGCCGCAUGUCAAGCGUGCUGUGAAAUGUCCGGGCUCAACCCGGGCCUUGCAGCGCGAACUGGCGUGCUUGAGUCCGCGGAAAGCAGGCGGAAUUCGUCGUGUAGCGGUGAAAUGCUUAGAUAUGACGAAGAACCCCGAUUGCGAAGGCAGCUUGCUGCAGCGGAACUGACGCUGAUGCUCGAAAGCGCGGGUAUCGAACAGGAUUAGAUACCCCAGUGGUC